UCAACUGUCUAAUCUAUAUUAAGUAAUUGUUUAUACUAGGAUGGUUGUUGUAAAAUAUGUGGUGGCGUGACACAUUUGGCAAGGGAUGUCCCGAAAAAGGGAAGAAAACUCUUUUUGCUGCUAAUGGGCCUGUUGAUGGAUUUGUAUAAGAAAAUGACGUUCUUCAUCACUGAAUUCCUCUAGCAGACAUAAUUGGGCUUUCUUCAACAGGAUUUGCCAGGUAUUUGAAUGAGUUCUCUUCAGCUUAUGAAGUCUUUAUUUUACAAGUUCUCAGAUUUACUCCAUGUUUAAUCUGGUCACCAUCAUUUUCUAUAUUAAUUUUGAGAUAAACAGAAAUGUAUGUGCCAUAGCCCAUGGGACAUAUGGCCUAUGCAUUGGUAAUUGGGAGGAGGGGGUUCAAAGUGUGUGUAUCACAAAAUUAUACUUUUUCAUUUAAAAAACAAUGAUUGAAUUUUUAUGAACAUGCUUAAUUGUUGCUGGAUUUAUGAACAUGAAGAAACAACUUCCCUCGAAAGGAUGUGUUUAAAAUCCAAAUCCUAACAAGUCACAUUACAAAACCACAAUUGAUUAUUACAAGUUUUACAUCUAAAAUAUAGUCUCUAUAUAAUUUACAAGUUCAAGACAACCUUGAUGUUCUUGUCGGUGACAGAAGCUUUCUUGGGCUUGGCAUUGUUGAGGCAUUUGGAUUUUGGUAUUUGAAUAUUCAAAUUUUCAGUAGAAAAAUUGGUAAGUUCACCCCCCAACACAACGCGCUUCCUCUUGAGGGGUUGAUUCUCAGUGAGGUUUGCGGUCAUGGCCCUCCUCUUUGCGGCGGCACGAGUUUCCAUCUCUGAAGGUGGCUCUCUUUGAAGAAAGGGGACAGAGAAAAAGAGAGGGCAAUAAGAAUGAGUAAAGAAGAGAGGAAGAGGGUGCCAAGUUUGAAGGGAGGGAUAUUGAAAGAGACAAUUGGGAUUUACAGUAUAAUAAGGAUGAAGCAUGAAGAGUGCCAUUUGAUUUGAGUAAAACUUUCAAAACAGAGAAAGAUAGAGAAGAUUAAUGAAAAUGAAAAGGGGGAUUGAGAAUUGAGAGUGCCGCUGUUGGUAAAAAAUGAAAAUGGGUUGAGGAAAUUUCUGCACAUUCAUCAAUGAAGUCUAUGGAGUAGUUUUCAUUUUGAAUAUCUUAAAUUAUGUUCAUUAAAACUUUACUCUAUGUUUUCUGCAUUACAAAUUGACUACCGCAGUGUGCAGGUGCCAAGCUAUCCUGUUCAACGCAUGGUUUUCGACGAAAUUCACGGCUAUUCUUUGACUUCAAUAAAUCCCUUCCUCGAUGAUUCUAGCCCAAAGGAUCAUGCUUUUGUUGAUGAAUUCAGCUGCAUAGCAAAGAUUCCAAUUAUCUUGUAUUUGUCAAAGAAGAAU